GAUGAACGCUGGCGGCGUGCUUAACACAUGCAAGUCGAACGGAAAGGCUCCUGCUUGCAGGGGUACUCGAGUGGCGAACGGGUGAGUAACACGUGGGUGAUCUGCCCUGCACUUCGGGAUAAGCCUGGGAAACUGGGUCUAAUACCGGAUAGGACGAUGGUUUGGAUGCCAUUGUGGAAAGUUUUUCGGUGUGGGAUGAGCUCGCGGCCUAUCAGCUUGUUGGUGGGGUAAUGGCCUACCAAGGCGUCGACGGGUAGCCGGCCUGAGAGGGUGUACGGCCACAUUGGGACUGAGAUACGGCCCAGACUCCUACGGGAGGCAGCAGUGGGGAAUAUUGCACAAUGGGGGAAAGCCUGAUGCAGCGACGCCGCGUGGGGGAUGACGGCCUUCGGGUUGUAAACUCCUUUCGCUAGGGACGAAGCGCAAGUGACGGUACCUGGAGAAGAAGCACCGGCUAACUACGUG
rnacentral:rRNA from 1 species